rnacentral:rRNA from 1 species
GACGAACGCUGGCGGCGUGCUUAACACAUGCAAGUCGAACGGAAAGGCCCUGCUUUUGUGGGGUGCUCGAGUGGCGAACGGGUGAGUAACACGUGAGUAACCUGCCCUUGACUUUGGGAUAACUUCAGGAAACUGGGGCUAAUACCGGAUAGGAGCUCCUGCUGCAUGGUGGGGGUUGGAAAGUUUCGGCGGUUGGGGAUGGACUCGCGGCUUAUCAGCUUGUGGGUGGGGUAGUGGCUUACCAAGGCUUUGACGGGUAGCCGGCCUGGGAGGGUGACCGGCCACAUUGGGACUGCGAUACGGCCCAGACUCCUACGGGGGGCAGCAGUGGGGAAUAUUGCCCAAUGGGCGGAAGCCUGAUGCAGCAGCGCCGCGUGCGGGAUGACGGCCUUCGGGUUGUAAACCGCUUUCGCCUGUGACGAAGCGUGAGUGACGGUAAUGGGUAAAGAAGCACCGGCUAACUACGUG